CACGAACGCUGGCGGCAUGCCUAACACAUGCAAGUCGAACGAGACCUUCGGGUCUAGUGGCGCACGGGUGCGUAACGCGUGGGAACCUGCCCUUAGGUUCGGAAUAACUCCCCGAAAGGGGUGCUAAUACCGGAUAAUGUCUUCGGACCAAAGAUUUAUCGCCUUUGGAUGGGCCCGCGUUGGAUUAGCUAGUUGGUAGGGUAAAAGCCUACCAAGGCGACGAUCCAUAGCUGGUCUGAGAGGAUGAUCAGCCACACUGGGACUGAGACACGGCCCAGACUCCUACGGGAGGCAGCAGUGGGGAAUAUUGGAAAAUGGGCGAAAGCCUGAUCCAGCAAUGCCGCGUGAGUGAUGAAGGCCUUAGGGUUGUAAAGCUCUUUUACCCGGGAUGAUAAUGACAGUACCGGGAGAAUAAGCUCCGGCUAACUCCGUG
rnacentral:rRNA from 1 species